rnacentral:rRNA from 1 species
UACGUAGGGGGCAAGCGUUGUCCGGAAUCAUUGGGCGUAAAGAGCGUGUAGGCGGUCCGUUAAGUCGGCUGUGAAAGUCCAGGGCUCAACCCUGGGAUGCCGGCCGAUACUGGCGGACUAGAGUCCGGAAGAGGUGAGUGGAAUUCCCGGUGUAGCGGUGAAAUGCGCAGAUAUCGGGAGGAACACCAAAUGGCGAAGGCAGCUCACUGGGACGGUACUGACGCUGAGACGGCGAAAGCGUGGGGAGCAAACAGGG